rnacentral:rRNA from 1 species
GGGGGGAAGUCCUGAUGCAGCCACGCCGCGUGAGUGAUGAAGGCCUUCGGGUUGUAAACCUCUUUCUUCGGGGACGAACAUGUGACGGCCCCCGAAGAAGAGGCCGGGCCUUUCCAUGUGACAACGCCCGCGGUUAUAUCAUGCCCCCCGCCGCGAUAAUA